GAGCUGCCGAUCAGCAGAAAGCCCAGUAAAUUGUUGUUUUUGGAUUGGCGCAAAAACGUCUUUGCAUCGGUCGGUAGGCGAAACGGUAUCGAACUUUAGAAUGACCAGAAACUAAGUCCGAAUCAGGAGCCAGGCUGUACAGCAGGAUGUCUAUAGAGGCUGAGGCGUUGCUGCAGGAGGCUAAGGAGAGUAUAGAAGCAGCUCAGAAUUACAGGAGCGAACUACAACAACGCCUACAUGGACUCAGCCAAGCACGCAAACAGCAGCUCUUCGCAAUGCUUGAUCCACAGCGCUGUUUAUGACUUCAAGCCUAUCAACUCCCGAGAUUAGGCUGGCAAUACUAAAGUGCCUAUAAGAACAUCCAAUAGUCAAAGCCUAUGCAGCUGCCAACACCUCAAACAUGUUGACACAUUUACGCCGACAUCACCCCAGUAUUCCUACCACCGGAACAAGAUGGAAACACAAAAAAACAACACCGCUUGGUCUCCCCUCUGCAUUCAAGCAGCCCUUCACAGCUGGUUCUGACUGGGCCAAAGACAUGCCAAGGGUGAUAGGUAUGUUUACACUAGUGGAUAGGAACCCUUUCUCAGUGGUUGAGAAGAAUAGAGGGAAUCGGCAUCUUUUGAAAGUGCUCGAGCCACGUUACGAACUUCACCCUCUCGCAAGCAUUUCAGCAAACGGGUAGUACCCGCUCUAUAUAACCAAGAGAACGGGUAGUACCCGCUCUAUAUAACCAAGAGAAGGGUUAGUACCCGCUCUAUAUAACCAAGAGAACGGGUCGUACCCGCUCUAUAUAACCAAGAGAACGGGUAGUACCCGCUCUAUAUAACCAAGAGAACGGGUAGUAUCCGCUCUAUAUAACCAAGAGAAGGGGUAGUACCCGCUCUAUAUAACCAAGAGAACGGGUAGUACCCGCUCUAUAUAACCAAGAGAACGGGUAGUAUCCGCUCUAUAUAACCAAGAGAAGGGGUAGUACCCGCUCUAUAUAAC
rnacentral:lncRNA from 1 species